UACGUAGGCGGUUUCUUAAGCGCAGGGUUUAAGGCAAUGGCUCAACCAUUGUUCGCCCUGUGAACUGGGAGACUUGAGUGCAGGAGAGGAAAGCGGAAUUCCUAGUGUAGCGGUGAAAUGCGUAGAUAUUAGGAGGAACACCAGUGGCGAAGUCGGCUUUCUGGACUGUAACUGACGCUGAGGUACGAAAGUGUGGGGAGCAAACA
rnacentral:rRNA from 1 species